rnacentral:lncRNA from 1 species
AAAUCUUUGUUAUAUACAAUAUACAAUGUAUAUUCACUUUUUACUACCAACUGAUAAAUUAAAAUAAUCUUUACCAUUCAGUGAUAACAAGCAGUUUUUUUUACAUCUUAAUAUUUUAUGAUGUAUUUAAAUGAGUAGUUAUUGUUGCAAACUCCAUUAGAAAUUUUAAUUGAGAUUAGUUUUGGAAUAAGGGAAAGUGGGAUGUGAUUAUAAAAAAUUUGGUUCAAUUUUUCUCAUUUGAAAUUUCAUAAAUAAAAAAGAAAAUUUCUUCAAACUUUUUUUGAGAGGAUUAAUAUUCAACAGCAUAGUGAAUUGCUCUAAGAGAAAACAAAAAUUUUAAGUUCAUUAGAACACAUUCAUUCUGUGUCAGAAACCUAUGCUGUGUCAACUAUUUAAUCACAAUCCAAAUUUAGAGCUGAAUCCAGCUUGAAUGUUGUGUCCAUACUUGCCCCAACUGUUCAGGGUUCAACCUCUGCGGUCGUAUAAAGCUACGCCCUGCGGAGCAUCUGGUUAUAAGCCUGUCUUACCUUCCUUCUAUGCUCCAUUCUUAAAGUUUAUUUCAUAGUUCAGAAGACUUUUUCUGAACUUCAACAGUUCUUUUUCAUGUAGGGUAGGUGUGUAUACACAUAUUAUCUUUAUUUUAAAAUGAUAAAGACAUAAAAGUAUAAGUGAUUAUGAUAUUUUUUUAAAGAUAUUUUGUAGGUGUAUUAUUUUUGUAACUGUCACACAUCUUAUAGAAAAAAGAUGCACAUAUUUCAAAUGUGUUUUUUUUUUACAAUUUGAAAUGUUUCUUAUGUGAACAUAUAUGGCCACUCUUUGUUAUGUUUAUUUUUAUUUUAUACAGUUAAUGACUGAAAUAUUUUUUGAAUGUUAAUCAUUGAAAAAUCAUUAUUUUUAUUUCUGAAAGCUGUUCACAAAAAUACUGUACUAGUGUGGUUUUGUAGUAAAGCAAAAUUUUCAAGACAAUAUUAUCUUGUAGUACAACAAUAUUAUGAUUUUUUUUUAGGUACAUAUUUAGUAUUAUAUGUAUUUAUAGCAGUUAAAUCAAAUUCAGGGGCGUAGCUGCCGUUGGGCACUUUUAAGGCAAGUGUCUACACAUAAUUUUUUCACAAAUAUUUUUUUUUAUUAAAAAAAAUAAUAAACAACGUUAUCUGCAGAAUUAUUUUUAAUGAAGGAUCGUCAUUAUGUACUAUUAAUUAAGUUAAACGUAUAUAUCAGUCAGAAGGGAAUAGAUAUAAAAAUACCAAACAGGGUGUACUGCUUAAUUAAAGGGAUACGCUGAUCUACGCUGGGCAAUGCAUAUUGUAUUUUUUUUUAUA